UACGAAGGGUGCAAGCGUUAAUCGGAAUUACUGGGCGUAAAGCGUGCGCAGGCGGUUUGUUAAGUCUGUUGUGAAAUCCCCGAGCUCAACCUGGGAAUUGCAAUGGAUACUGGCAGGCUGGAGUAUGGUAGAGGAAGGUGGAAUUCCCGGUGUAGCAGUGAAAUGCGUAGAGAUCGGGAGGAACACCAGUUGCGAAGGCGGCCUUCUGGACCGAUACUGACGCUCAUACACGAAAGCGUGGGGAGCAAACAGG
rnacentral:rRNA from 1 species